GGAGCAGAGGUUGCAAGGAGCCGGGGUAAAUCAGAGGGGGCAAUGGGGAAUCGAAGUUACGUGGCGUAAAGCGUGCGUGGACGGUUUAUGAAGUCGGUUGUGAAAUACCUGGGUUGAGCCUGGGAACUGCAGGCGAUACUGGGGAACUAUAGGAAGGUAGAGGGUGGCGGAACGCCGGGUGUAGCGGUGAAAUGCGUAGAUAUCCGGAAGAACACCGAGGGCGAAGGCAACCACAUGGGCCUGCACUGACGCAGAGGUACGAAAGCGUGGGGAGCAAACAGGAUUAGAUACCCGGGUAGC
rnacentral:rRNA from 1 species